rnacentral:lncRNA from 1 species
CCUGCGGUGGUGUUCUCCGUCUUCCCACAGGACUCCCUGCAGCCAGGAAUUCUAGGGGAGCACCUGACGCGAGGUAUACGCCCAGAUGGCCUGAAGUAACUGAAGAAUCACAAAAGAAGUGAAAAUGUCCUGCCCCGCCUUAACUGAUGACAUUCCACCACAAAGGAAGUGUCAAUGGCUGGUCCUUGCCUUAACUGAUGACAUUCCACCGCAAAAGAAGUGAAAAUGGCCGGUCCUUGCCUUAACUGAUGACAUUACACCACAAAAGAAGUGAAAAUGGCCGGUCCUUGCCUUAAGUGAUGGCAUUACCUUGUGAAAGUCCUUUUCCUGGCUCAUUCUGGCUCAAAAUCACCCCCACUGAGCACCUUGUGACCCCCACUCCUGCCCGCCAGGGAACAAUCCCCCUUUGACUGUAAUUUUCCUUUACCUACCCAAAUCUUAUAAAAUGGCCCCACCCCUAUCUCCCUUUGCUGACUCUCUUUUUGGACUCAGCCUGCCUGCAUCCAGGUGAUUAAAAGCUUUUAUUGCUCAC